rnacentral:rRNA from 1 species
GUCCUAGCCGUAAACGAUGGGCACUAGGUGUGGGGCGCUAUCCACGCGUUCCGUGCCGUAGCUAACGCAUUAAGUGCCCCGCCUGGGGAGUACGGUCGCAAGGCUAAAACUCAAAGGAAUUGACGGGGCCCGCACAAGCGGCGGAGCAUGUGGCUUAAUUCGAUGCAACGCGAAGAACCUUACCGGGACUUGACAUGUAGGGAAAAGCGAUAGAGAUAUCGUGUGCUUCGGCGUCCUACACAGGUGUUGCAUGGCUGUCGU